rnacentral:lncRNA from 1 species
GACGUGGAGAACCUUUGUGUCUAGCUCAGGGAUUGUAAACGCACCAAUCAGCGCCCUGUCAAAAGAGACCACUCGGCUCUACCAAUCAGCAGGAUGUGGGUGGGGCCAGAAAAGAGAAUAAAAGCAGGCUGCCCGAGCUAGCAGUGGUAACCCGCUCCGGUCCCCUUCCACAGUGUGGAAGGUUUGUUCUUUCGCUCUUUGCAAUAAAUCUUGCUGCUGCUCACUCCUUGGGUCCACACUGCUUUUAUGAGCUGUAACACUCACUGGGAAAGUCUGCAGCUUCACUCCUGAAGCCAGCGAGACCACGAGCCCACCGGGAGAAACGAACAACUCCAGACGCGCCGCCUUAAGAGCUGUAACACUCACCGCGAAGGUCUGCAGCUUCACUCCUGAGCCAGCGAGACCACGAACCCACCACAAGGAAGAAACUCUGAACACAUCCGAACAUCAGGAGGAACAAACUCCAGACGCGCCACCUUAAGAGCUGUGACACUCACCUUGAGGGCCCACGGCUUCAUUCUUGACAUCAGUGAGACCAAGAACCCACCAAUUCCAGACACAAUGGGGCUUCCUCUCCACUGACUUCUGCAACAUGGCCCAUGUCACUGAGCUGGCAACCAAGAGGGAGGAGAAAAGAGAAAGGAACCCUCCCAUUCAUCCUUCCGUAUCACUACUCAGAACCAAGUACCUCUGCUUCUAAACUACAUCAGGGAGUGCAACUCCCAUGGAAUCACAGGACAAGAAGAAAUGGGAACAGAUAUUUAAGUUAAAUGAUGGCAAAGAAAUUUGGAAAAGGUAAAAAGUCAGAGAAAGAGAAAACAAUGGUGGACAAAAAUUGAAAAAAAUGUAGAAAUUGGAAAGAGAAGUGAUAACUGAUUUAGAAAAAUAAAUGAGGGAGCUACAAUCUAAACUGACAGCUGAGUGAGAGACUGAAGAAGCAUGACCCUAAUCCUCCUAAUCCCCUGAGGAAUCAUUUAGAAGCUCAUGACUUGAAGGCACCAGGUAUUUCAGAAGGUGGGGUAACACUCAGAAGGAAAACUGCAAGG